rnacentral:rRNA from 1 species
UACGGAGGGUGCAAGCGUUGUCCGGAAUCACUGGGCGUAAAGGGCGCGUAGGCGGCUCAUGAAGGCUGUGGUGAAAGUCCGGGGCUCAACCUCGGAUCGGCCGUGGCGACUCGUGGGCUGGAGCACUGUAGAGGCGGGUGGAAUUCCGGGUGUAGCGGUGGAAUGCGUAGAGAUCCGGAAGAACACCAGUGGCGGAGGCGGCCCGCUGGGCAGUGGCUGACGCUGAGGCGCGAAAGCGUGGGGAGCAAACAGG